UGGGGAAUAUUGCACAAUGGGCGCAAGCCUGAUGCAGCCAUGCCGCGUGUAUGAAGAAGGCCUUCGGGUUGUAAAGUACUUUCAGCGGGGAGGAAGGGAGUAAAGUUAAUACCUUUGCUCAUUGACGUUACCCGCAGAAGAAGCACCGGCUAACUCCGUGCCAGCAGCCGCGGUAAUACGGAGGGUGCAAGCGUUAAUCGGAAUUACUGGGCGUAAAGCGCACGCAGGCGGUUUGUUAAGUCAGAUGUGAAAUCCCCGGGCUCAACCUGGGAACUGCAUCUGAGACUGGCAAGCUUGAGUCUCGGAGAGGGGGGUAGAAUUCCAGGUGUGGCGGUGAAAUGCGUAGAGAUCUGGAGGAAUACCGGUGGCGAAGGCGGCCCCCUGGACGAAGACUGACGCUCAGGUGCGAAAGCGUGGGGAGCAAACAGG
rnacentral:rRNA from 1 species